UACGUAGGCAGCGAGCGUUGUUCGGAAUUACUGGGCGUAAAGAGUGUGUAGGCGGUGCUCCCAGUCUGUUGUGAAAUCUCCCGGCUUAACUGGGAGGGUGCAGCGGAAACUAGAGUGCUAGAGGGUGGGAGAGGUAAGCGGAAUUCCAGGUGUAGCGGUGAAAUGCGUAGAUAUCUGGAGGAACACCGGUGGCGAAGGCGGAUCUCUGGGCCAUAACUGACGCUGAGGAGCGAAAGCAUGGGGAGCGAACAGG
rnacentral:rRNA from 1 species